CCGCAUCUGUGCAUGCAGCAUAUCAAUAAGCGGAGGAAAAGAAACUAACAAGGAUUCCCCUAGUAACGGCAAGUGAAGCGGGAAGAGCUCAAAUUUGAAAUCUUAAAGGGUUUCCCUUUACGAAUUGUAGUUUAAAGAAGUGUUUUCUGUUGAGGUUUUGGUAAAAGUUCUUUGGAAUAGGACAUCAUAGAGGGUGAGAAUCCCGUAUUUGACCUUUACUUUCAACUUUGUGAUACACUUUCAAAGAGUCGGAUUGUUUGGGAAUGCGGUCCAAAAUGGGUGGUAAAUUUCAUCUAAAGCUAAAUAUUGGCGAGAGACCGAUAGCGAACAAGUACCGUGAGGGAAAGAUGAAAAGAACUUUGAAAAGAGAGUUAAACAGUACGUGAAAUUGUCAAAAGGGAAGCGUUUGACACCAGUGUUGUUUUUCUGAAAAUCAAUUAAAGAACUGUUUAUGCUAAGCUGUUUAGACUUUAUCAGCUAUCUGUUUAGUUUUGAGCUUUUCUUUAAUGCACUUUUCAGUUAACAAGUCAACAUCAAUUUCUUUUGCUGUAAAAAAGCUUGAGGAAGGUGGCUUGAGAUUCGUCUUAAGUGUUUAUAGCCUCUUGCCUAUGCAGUCGGAGAGAUUGAGGUCUGCAGCGUAGACUCUUCGGGGUUAGAUACAUUUGUGCUAAGUUAUAGCUUUUUAUAGCCAACUUGUUGACUAUAAUUAGUCUUGUAGCUUACUCGCUUAUGCUAUUUUACCUACGCUUAGGAUGUUGAUAGUCACAGCGUGUAC
rnacentral:rRNA from 1 species